GGGUUUUGAUGGGAAUUGAGGAUGGAAGUGAAUUAGGAAGGACUUAGACUCAAGAAAGAAGAAGAAAGAGGAAGAAAAGAAGAGUCUAUGCACCGCUGAGCGUCAAAAUCCAACACUGAGCGUCCAGAGUGACUAGAGGCAAACUGCUCAACGGUGAAACUAACCACUGAGCGCUGACACGAUUAAGAGGAAACCGCUGAGCGGUUAAAUUUGACGCUGAGUGAUAA
rnacentral:lncRNA from 1 species